rnacentral:rRNA from 1 species
CACUCCUACGGGAGGCAGCAGUGGGGAAUUUUGGACAAUGGGCGAAAGCCUGAUCCAGCAAUGCCGCGUGUGUGAAGAAGGCCUUCGGGUUGUAAAGCACUUUUGUCCGGAAAGAAAUCCUUGGCUCUAAUACAGUCGGGGGAUGACGGUACCGGAAGAAUAAGCACCGGCUAACUACGUGCCAGCAGCCGCGGUAAUACGUAGGGUGCGAGCGUUAAUCGGAAUUACUGGGCGUAAAGCGUGCGCAGGCGGUUUGCUAAGACCGAUGUGAAAUCCCCGGGCUCAACCUGGGAACUGCAUUGGUGACUGGCAGGCUAGAGUAUGGCAGAGGGGGGUAGAAUUCCACGUGUAGCAGUGAAAUGCGUAGAGAUGUGGAGGAAUACCGAUGGCGAAGGCAGCCCCCUGGGCCAAUACUGACGCUCAUGCACGAAAGCGUGGGGAGCAAACAGGAUUAGAAACCCCUGUAGUCCCAUGA